AAGGCUUUACCUUAAUUAAAGUGUCUGUUUUGCAUGCAGAAGAUGUGGGUUAGUGUCCCGCAAGUCUUA
rnacentral:tRNA from 1 species